rnacentral:rRNA from 1 species
GAUGAACGCCGGCGGCGUGCCUAAUACAUGCAAGUCGAGCGAACAGACGAGGAGCUUGCUCCUCUGACGUUAGCGGCGGACGGGUGAGUAACACGUGGAUAACCUACCUAUAAGACUGGGAUAACUUCGGGAAACCGGAGCUAAUACCGGAUAAUAUAUUGAACCGCAUGGUUCAAUAGUGAAAGACGGUUUUGCUGUCACUUAUAGUUGGAUCCGCGCCGCAUUAGCUAGUUGGUAAGGUAACGGCUUACCAAGGCAACGAUGCGUAGCCGACCUGAGAGGGUGAUCGGCCACACUGGAACUGAGACACGGUCCAGACUCCUACGGGAGGCAGCAGUAGGGAAUCUUCCGCAAUGGGCGAAAGCCUGACGGAGCAACGCCGCGUGAGUGAUGAAGGUCUUCGGAUCGUAAAACUCUGUUAUUAGGGAAGAACAAAUGUGUAAGUAACUAUGCACGUCUUGACGGUACCUAAUCAGAAAGCCACGGCUAACUACGUG